AUACGGUUAGAACUACCUUUAUGUGAGAACACUCCUAAUAUAUGAGAACAAAUCUAAGUCUUUGGAUCAAACGAUAUCAACGGCUCUAAUAAAUCCAAACUUUUGAUAUCAAACGAUAUACUGCUGCUACUCAGAAAAACAGAGCAAAGAACUACGAGCUUCAAUUUCAAUGAGAUUCAAGAAUUUCGAACACAAUUCCGUUCGAUUUUUGUCAGAUUUCAGCAGUAACAAGAAUCACUAGCUUCAUAGAAUAUACAGGAGAAUUAAGUUAUUCAGGGAAAGAGUGGGUUUAAUAGCUUCAUGGUAGCUCCAAAGUAUCUGUUGAAAAUUAAAGGCCUCUGGCUGUGUUUUACGACGGUGUGAAACUGGUGAGAAAGGCAUUCAAAACAAGUUUCAUAGUAUAAUCCUAUUGUUCUUUAGUUGAUCUAUUUUUCUUUUCUUUUCUUGAGUUCCUGUCUCUAAAGUGGGAAACCACAAAACCAAACAAACUCAAUCAUAGAGGUCAAAGGCAGCUUACUAUCAAUUACUUUCUAAAAAUAUUAGACAUGUUUGUGUUAUACAUAUAUUGAUUGACCUGAUAUAUUUGUCUAGAACUGGAUAAUUCCUUCUCGAUCUUUAUAACCCCAACCUCAAUUCCUUUACACACAUAAGCAUCUGUAUUAAUCUUCAUCACGCUAGCCCAGCGAUAGCUUGUGUUAUACUUGCUAACUAUUAGCUAAGUUGUGCUUUAGUUGCAAUGAUGCAGUGAUAGACGAGCAAUUGUUCUUCUUUAGGUACUUGUAUGGGGAUCUAUAUGCAAGUAAUAAUAUAUGGGCAACUACUGAGAAUCCAACAAACUGUGAAAACCUUAGCACAAUAGCAAUUAAUGCCGUUUAGUUGUGUAAGAGACUCACCACUUCAGUGUAGUGCUAUAGGAACUACACUUCCAGCUAUGGGAUACGUAUAUUCAUUUGCGCAGGAAAACUAGAAAGAUGUUCUCAAUCUAACCAGCACCGGAGUUUACAGAGUUGUUUGCCCAAGCCGUUGCAACUAUGCUUACUCAAAGGAGACUGCAAGGCCUGCCACUAGUCCAACUCCAAGUCCAUCAUCCCCUUCAAGGGAAGCUCAUUCUCUUGCACCUCUUAGAGAUUGGCUCUCCUUUCUUCUCUGCUUCCUGAUUCAGCAUUUAUUAUUUUGAGCAGUGUUUCAAUUGCAUUCAGCUAGGAUAGUCAUAUACUCGUAUAGAUAUAUAUAGUUGUUUGUAUCUCCGUAGGUUUGAGAAGAAUGUUAAAUUUUUCGAGAUACACAUUAUUGUAAUUGGGAGUGUGUGUGUGCGUAUAUAUAUACAUUAAUCUUGUUACAUUUCAAA